CAUGUUGUCAUACUGAACGGGUUCUGCCAUCGCCAGUGAACUGUCAGAGUUGAAGAACUAUCGUAAGUCACUUGGAAUUUGACAGUGACAAAGUUCGCGCAAGAACCAAUCGCGCCCCCUGCUGGUGAAAUGGGUGUAAAAAUGCUGCAGUGCUUCCCCUUCUACAGACGCUGCAAGGAGAGGUGCAAAAGACAGUGCCCUCCUGAGACGGUAGUAGCAAGUGAAGAGCUGAAGCCCCGGUUGUCCUCCACCACCUCCUGGGGCAGUGAAGGGGACAGCGCCAGCAGUCCAACUUGCCCACAGGCCUAUUUUUCCCACAAGGCUCGGCUCUCGCUUCGGCACCAGAUGGAUAGCAACAUCAAUGCAGUGGACGCCACAUACUAACUUUCUUCUGCAAGUGAUCCCUGGAGAAUCCUUGAAAGUAAACCAGAUUUACCGUCCCAAUCCAGUUUAAAUCCCUCAUUGGAGUGCGUUUGAGGGGAACUGGAGGACGAGCCAUUAGUAGGAACUGGGAGUUUGGACACUCAUGAGCGUCAGCUGUAUGCAUUGUAACAAUGUCAAGAUAAGUGUUUGAUGUUCUCUAACAGUAACGGUACAGCUGAGUGUAAUUUGGUUAAGGGGGGAAUUGUGAAACACAUUUUUAGGGGCAACGUUUACAUGAUCACAAAGUGCUUUUUAAUUUUUAGCCUGUAGCAUCUGCCCUCCACCAUCUCUGCUAUAUAUGCAUCUUCACGAUCUGAACUGGAUGCUUCUGGUUGGUUUUAUCAGAGGAGACUCUGUUAUCUUAAGGCAAUUGAGGGGUUUGAGCCAGAUAUGAAUCUGUUUAGCAGUCUACCGAUUAUUUUGCCUGUCAAAUUUAACCACGCUUUGCCUCGUUGAUUAUAAAAACAGUGUACUGUAAAAGCAACUGAAUGUUUUUCUCUUUCACACAAACGGAAAGGUCUCUAAAGCUUAUUUUGCUUUCUAUGCAAGUUCCAUUUUCUAGCCCGUAUAUACAAUCUGUUCAUUUUUCUGAUGUAUAGAUUUCAGGACUUUCUGAAACAGACCCCGUCAUAAACACAUUUUGUUUGAAAAGUGUUUGUUUCAUGAACUGUAUGUAACAUAAAACUAAUGUAUAAUUCUAAAGUUUUUCCAUUUUCAACAUUUUUAAAAGGUUUUCUCAUUGUAUGCAUAAAACCAGUCGAG